rnacentral:SRP_RNA from 10 species
GCCAGUUACAGUGGCACAGGCCUGUAGUCCCAGCUACUCGGGAGGAUGGCUUGAGCCCAGGAGUUCUGGGGUAUAGUGUGCUCUGCUGACCGGGUGUGUGCACUAAGUUUAACAUCAAUAUGGUGACCUCCUGGGAGCGAGGGACCACCAGGUUGCCUAAGGAGAGGUGAACUGGCCCAGGUCAAACACAGAGCAGGUAAAAACUCCUGUACUGGUCAGUAGUGGGAUCGUGCUUGUGAAUAGCCACUACACUCCAGCCUGGGCAAGU